UGAGGAAUAUUGGACAAUGGGCGCAAGCCUGAUCCAGCCAUGCCGCGUGCAGGAAUAAGCAUCUAUGGUGUGUAAACUGCUUUUGUACGGGAAGAAACACUCCUUCGUGAAGGAGCUUGACGGUACCGUAAGAAUAAGGAUCGGCUAACUUCGUGUCAGCAGCCGUGGUAAUGCGGAGGAUCCAAGCGUUAUCCGGAAUUAUUUGGUUUAAAGGGUCCGUAGGCGGUUUAGUAAGUCAGUGGUGAAAGAUCAUCGCUCAUCGUUGGAACGACCAUUGAUACUGCUAGACUUGAAUUAUUAGGAAGUAACUAGAAUAUGUAGUGUAGCGAUGAAAUGCUUAGAUAUUGCAUGAAAUACCAAUUGCGAAGGCAGGUUACUACUAAUGGAUUGACGCUGAUGGACAAAAGCGUGGGGAGCGAACA
rnacentral:rRNA from 1 species